rnacentral:rRNA from 1 species
AUCGAACGCUGGCGGCAGGCCUAACACAUGCAAGUCGAACGAGUGGCGGACGGGUGAGUAAUGUCUGGGAAACUGACUGAUGGAGGGGGCUAACUACUGGAAACGGUAGCUACUACUGCAUACCAUCAGAUGUGGCCAGAUGGGAUUAGCUUGUUGGUGGGGUAACGGCUCACCAAGGCGACGAUCCCUAGCGGGUCUGAGAGGAUGACCAGCCACACUGUAACGGAGACACGGUCCAGACUCCUACGGGAGGCAGCAGUGGGGAAUAUUGCCCAAUGGGCGAAAGCCUGAUGCAGCAAUGCCGCGUGUAUGAAGAAGGCCUUCGGGUUGUAAAGUACUUUCGGCGGGGAGGCGGUACCCACAGAAGAAGCACCGGCUAACUCCGUGCCAGCAGCCGCGGUAAUAC